AAAAAGGGCUUCUGUCGUGAGUGGCACACGUAGGGCAACUUGUUUGUUCUACGUGCGGAAUCGACAUCAAGAGAUUUCGGAAGCAUAAUUUUUUGGUACCUGGGCAGCUGGUGAUCGUUGGUCCUGGCGCCCUU
rnacentral:snRNA from 1 species